AUGACGGAUAACAACCACCAAGAAAAGGAACUUGCUGCCCUGGAGAAUGCGUUCCUGGAUGAAAGCGCGGACCCAGUCGAUCUCCCUUUCUCUCUUCUCAAGGCUAUCACAGGAAACUUCUCCGAAGAUAACGAAAUCGGCAGGGGCGGGUUCGGAGCCGUUUACAAGGGAGUACUUCCAAGCGGUGGUAUCGUUGCCGUGAAGAAGCUCUAUGAGAGACUCGAGAUCCUGGACAAGAAUUUCAAGAGCGAGGUCGCCUCUCUUGUUGGGGUCAAGCACAAGAACAUGGUGCGGUUCCUUGGGCACUGCUCCGAGACACAGCACGUGAUGAUGCCGUACAAGGGAAAGUUUGUUUGUGCAGAAGAACGGCAGAGGCUGCUCUGCUUCGAGUACCUGCCCAAAGGGUGCCUUGCUGACUAUCUCUCCGAUGCGUCUUGUCGACUUGAGUGGACCACGCGUUAUGAAAUAAUCAAGGGGAUAUGUGAGGGUGUACAUUACCUGCAUGGGCAGCGUAUUAUUCACAUGGACCUCAAGCCUCAAAAUGUACUAUUAGAUGAUAACAUGGUGCCCCGAAUUGCGGAUUUUGGGCUAUCACGGCGCCUAAGUGAAAGCAAGAGUCGGGCUAUUACUAAAAACAUGAUUGGGACGACGGGAUAUAUGGCACCAGAAUUUAUAAAUAAGGGAGAAAUCACUUUCAAGACAGACAUAUAUAGUUUGGGAGUUAUAAUCACGGAAAUCCUUAUGGGACAUAAAGAAUGCUCCAAUGUUAAGGAGGUAAUUAUAUUUUAUAUGAUGUUCCAAGAAAAACAAUGUCGAGUGUCGACAGCAUGGUAG
rnacentral:rRNA from 1 species